rnacentral:rRNA from 1 species
CCUUACCACAUGCAAGGUCCGAGCGGAUGAAGGGAGCUUGCUCCUGGAUUCAGCGGCGGACGGGUGAGUAAUGCCUAGGAAUCUGCCUGGUAGUGGGGGAUAACGUCCGGAAACGGGCGCUAAUACCGCAUACGUCCUGAGGGAGAAAGUGGGGGAUCUUCGGACCUCACGCUAUCAGAUGAGCCUAGGUCGGAUUAGCUAGUUGGUGGGGUAAAGGCCUACCAAGGCGACGAUCCGUAACUGGUCUGAGAGGAUGAUCAGUCACACUGGAACUGAGACACGGUCCAGACUCCUACGGGAGGCAGCAGUGGGGAAUAUUGGACAAUGGGCGAAAGCCUGAUCCAGCCAUGCCGCGUGUGUGAAGAAGGUCUUCGGAUUGUAAAGCACUUUAAGUUGGGAGGAAGGGCAGUAAGUUAAUACCUUGCUGUUUUGACGUUACCAACAGAAUAAGCACCGGCUAACUUCGUGCCAGCAGCCGCGGUAAUACGAAGGGUGCAAGCGUUAAUCGGAAUUACUGGGCGUAAAGCGCGCGUAGGUGGUUCAGCAAGUUGGAUGUGAAAUCCCCGGGCUCAACCUGGGAACUGCAUCCAAAACUACUGAGCUAGAGUACGGUAGAGGGUGGUGGAAUUUCCUGUGUAGCGGUGAAAUGCGUAGAUAUAGGAAGGAACACCAGUGGCGAAGGCGACCACCUGGACUGAUACUGACACUGAGGUGCGAAAGCGUGGGGAGCAAACAGGAUUAGAUACCCUGGUAGUCCACGCCGUAAACGAUGUCGACUAGCCGUUGGGAUCCUUGAGAUCUUAGUGGCGCAGCUAACGCGAUAAGUCGACCGCCUGGGGAGCACGGCCGCAAGGUUAAAACUCAAAUGAAUUGACGGGGGGCCCGCACAGGCGGUGGAGCAUGUGGUUUAAUUCCGAAACCAACGCCGAAGAACCUUACCUGGCCCUUGACAUGCUGAGAAACUUUCCAGAGAUGGAUCGGUGGCCUUCGGGAAACUCCAGAACACUAGGUGGCUUGACAUGGGCA